rnacentral:misc_RNA from 1 species
GAUGAAGAACGUAGCGAAAUGCGAUAAGUAAUGUGAAUUGCAGAAUUCAGUGAAUCAUCAAAUCUUUGAACGCAUCUUGCGCUCCUUGGUAUUCCGAGGAGCAUGCCUGUUUGAGUGUCAUUCAACUUGUCAACCACUUUGGAAGUUGUUUUUCAAUGUGGCUUGGAUGUGGGGGAUUUGCAGGCUUUUCUUCUGUCUGCUCUCCUGAAAUGCAUUAGUGGUGUCUUAAAGGGUUCACAACCACAGGUGUGAUAAAUUAUCUAUGCCUUUGGUAUGAACAGAACUGUGCUGCUUCUAAAUGAAAUGAGCCCUUGCAGGCUCUUUCUUUUGAUGAAUUUGACCCCAAAUCAGGUAGGACUACCCGCUGAACUUAAGCAUAUCAAUAAGCGGAGGA